GAUGAACGCUGGCGGCGUGCCUAAUACAUGCAAGUCGAGCGAACGGACGAGAAGCUUGCUUCUCUGAUGUUAGCGGCGGACGGGUGAGUAACACGUGGAUAACCUAUCUAUAAGACUGGGAUAACUUCGGGAAACCGGAGCUAAUACCGGAUAAUAUUUUGAACCGCAUGGUUCAAAAGUGAAAGACGGUCUUGCUGUCACUUAUAGAUGGAUCCGCGCUGCAUUAGCUAGUUGGUAAGGUAACGGCUUACCAAGGCAACGAUGCAUAGCCGACCUGAGAGGGUGAUCGGCCACACUGGAACUGAGACACGGUCCAGACUCCUACGGGAGGCAGCAGUAGGGAAUCUUCCGCAAUGGGCGAAAGCCUGACGGGGCAACGCCGCGUGAGUGAUGAAGGUCUUCGGAUCGUAAAACUCUGUUAUUAGGGAAGAACAUAUGUGUAAGUAACUGUGCACAUCUUGACGGUACCUAAUCAGAAAGCCACGGCUAACUACGUG
rnacentral:rRNA from 1 species